rnacentral:tRNA from 1 species
AGAACUAUAGCUUAAUUGGAAAAGUACCGACCUCUCAAGUCGGAGAUGCGAGUUCGAGUCUCGCUAGUUCUACUA